CCCUAGACAAGCCACUGAGGGCCGGAUUAGUAGUUGGGUCGGUGACGACCAGCGAAUACCCGGUGUUGCAUGUU
rnacentral:rRNA from 1 species